UACGUAGGGUGCAAGCGUUAUCCGGAAUUAUUGGGCGUAAAGAGCUCGUAGGCGGUUUGUCGCGUCUGCUGUGAAAACUGGGGGCUCAACUCCCAGCCUGCAGUGGGUACGGGCAGACUAGAGUGUGGUAGGGGGAGACUGGAAUUCCUGGUGUAGCGGUGAAAUGCGCAGAUAUCAGGAGGAACACCGGUGGCGAAGGCGGAUCUCUGGGCCAUUACUGACGCUGAGGAGCGAAAGCGUGGGGAGCGAACAGG
rnacentral:rRNA from 1 species